GUAAUGCCUGGGGAUCUGCCCAGUCGAGGGGGAUAACUACUGGAAACGGUAGCUAAUACCGCAUACGCCCUACGGGGGAAAGCAGGGGACCUUCGGGCCUUGCGCGAUUGGAUGAACCCAGGUGGGAUUAGCUWGUUGGUGAGGUAAUGGCUCACCAAGGCGACGAUCCCUAGCUGGUCUGARAGGAUGAUCAGCCACACUGGAACUGAGACACGGUCCAGACUCCUACGGGAGGCAGCAGUGGGGAAUAUUGCACAAUGGGGGAAACCCUGAUGCAGCCAUGCCGCGUGUGUGAAGAAGGCCUUCGGGUUGUAAAGCACUUUCAGCGAGGAGGAAAGGUUGGUAGCUAAUAACUGCCAGCUGUGACGUUACUCGCAGAAGAAGCACCGGCUAACUCCGUGCCAGCAGCCGCGGUAAUACGGAGGGUGCAAGCGUUAAUCGGAAUUACUGGGCGUAAAGCGCACGCAGGCGGUUGGAUAAGUUAGAUGUGAAAGCCCCGGGCUCAACCUGGGAAUUGCAUUUAAAACUGUCCAGCUAGAGUCUUGUAGAGGGGGGUAGAAUUCCAGGUGUAGCGGUGAAAUGCGUAGAGAUCUGGAGGA
rnacentral:rRNA from 1 species